CAAUGGGGUUUGUUUCAGCCAAAAACCUCUCAAACUUGGCGAUGUUUUUCAACUACGGAUUAACGAAAUGGACUUAAAAUGGGCAGGAUCUUUGGUAAGACAUUAAAUGGGGGUACUAAAAAAAAGCGCAAUAGGAGAACGUUUGAAAUUUUUCGGGUUUUAUCUAUUACGAAUGACGCGUGUGUUUUCAUUGCAUGCCUUCUCGAGUUCUGUAUUAGGGACAAAGAUCAACAAUGGUAUACUCAAGCGUUUUUCCGAAGCAUAUUAGGUCUGAUUUUGAUUUUAAUUUGAAGAAAAGAAACGUAAUUUACAAUCCUAGUUACACGGUAAUUGAACAUGAAGGUUGAAUUACUAUUUAAUAAGACAACGAACAAGUGUUAUUAAGUAAUGACACACCGUGAAAUGAAGUCAGGUUCAUGUACAUUGUCAAAGAAAAAGAUCUCUGAUGCAUAAAAUAAGUGUCUGUAGAACUUUCCGAAAAGCUUUCCACAUUUAUAAAACAUUCAGCGUAAUAUGCUGCGCAAUUAUAUCUUAUCAAGUUUUUGAAUGGCACAAUGUCCACUCAACGAUCUUUAUUCCGCUAUCAUUAACUUAAAAGUUUAUUUUAAAAUUUGUAUAGGAUGGGAAUUCAUGAUGACUUUCACUGGGAAGCAAUUUUGGGAUUGCCAAUAGCAUAUGAAGGGCUUUUCACUUGCCUUAAACCCAGGGUUUGUCGGCAAGUCGGUUUCAUGGUCACAGACUUGUUGCUGCAUUGCAUAGAGCACACAUCCCCCCUUCAGUUCUGCACUUCUCUAUGAUGACACAAAGUUUUGAAAGCUUUUGAGUGUUAAUUCUUGCAUUCACAAACCAGUCUGAAAUUGCAGCAUGAAAGCGACUUGUUGACAACCCCUACCUCCCCAAAAUAAGGCAAAGAUUGGCAAAGAUUGAAACGGACAUAAUACAAAAAACCACGGUGUGUGAGGCCCAAUCCAAGUACCGUGAUCUGUUGCAGAGUAUCUGGCUAAAUAGAGACUGGGAAUAACAACGUGCAACCCUGACCAGUCGUCCGUCAACAUUGUCAGGGCAGCAACAGAUCUUUUUAGCGACGAUUUUAAAGAUUU
rnacentral:misc_RNA from 1 species